CGUGUAGGCGGGAAAGUAAGUCAGAUGUGAAAGCCCAGAGCUUAACUUUGGGAUUGCAUCUGAAACUACUUUUCUUGAGUACUGGAGAGGGAAGCGGAAUUCCUAGUGUAGCGGUGAAAUGCGUAGAUAUUAGGAGGAACACCAGUGGCGAAGGCGGCUUCCUGGACAGAGACUGACGCUGAGACGCGAAAGCGUGGGGAGCAAACAGGAUUAGAUACCCUGGUAGUCC
rnacentral:rRNA from 1 species